rnacentral:rRNA from 1 species
AACGAAGGCUGGCGGCAGGCUUAACACAUGAAAGUCGAACGGUGUAGCAAUACACAGUGGCAGACGGGUGAGGAACACGUGGGAACAACCCUUUCGGUUCGGAAUAACGUUGGGAAACUAACGCUAAUACCGGAUACGUCCGAGAGGAGAAAGAUUUAUUGACGAGAGAUUGGGCCGCGUCUGAUUGGCUAGUUGGUGAGGUAACGGCUCACCAAGGCUACGAUCAGUAGCUGAACGGAGAGGAUGAUCAGCCACAUUGGGACUGGGACACGGCGCAAACUCCUACGGGAGGCAGCAGUGGGGAAGAUUGGACAAUGGGCGCAAGCCUGAUCCAGCCAUGCCGCGUGGGUGAUGAAGGCCUUCGGGUUGUAAAGCUCUUUUGUCCGGGAAGAUAAUGACUGUAGCGGAAGAAUAAGCCCCGGCAAACUUCGUGCCAGCAGCCGCAGUAAGAC